AGCGAACGCUGGCGGCAGGCUUAACACAUGCAAGUCGAGCGGGCACUUCGGUGUCAGCGGCAGACGGGUGAGUAGCACGUGGGAACGUACCCUUCGGUUCGGAAUAACGCUGGGAAACUAGCGCUAAUACCGGAUACGCCCUUUUGGGGAAAGGUUUACUGCCGAAGGAUCGGCCCGCGUCUGAUUAGCUAGUUGGUGGGGUAAUGGCCUACCAAGGCGACGAUCAGUAGCUGGUCUGAGAGGAUGAUCAGCCACACUGGGACUGAGACACGGCCCAGACUCCUACGGGAGGCAGCAGUGGGGAAUAUUGGACAAUGGGCGCAAGCCUGAUCCAGCCAUGCCGCGUGAGUGAUGAAGGCCUUAGGGUUGUAAAGCUCUUUUGUCCGGGACGAUAAUGACGGUACCGGAAGAAUAAGCCCCGGCUAACUUCGUG
rnacentral:rRNA from 1 species